UCCCAAGGCUCCGAUGCUGCUGCUAGCUCCCGCCGAGGGCGCUUAGAACUUCAUCAGGUGCGGGCGGUCGCCGUCCUUCAGGGUGAAGCGGGUCGACAGGUAGCCCUUCAGGUCGGCCGACAGGGCCGGCAGCAGAGCGGCGUCCAGGGUCUUCUGGUUGGCGAUGUACUCCUGGCUGAGCACGUUCUUCUUCGCCUCCGACUGGUCGAAGAACUCCUUCUCGCCCUUCUUGCUCGACUUGCUCUCCACCGCCUUGAAGUAGCUGUCCGUGAACUUCGACAGGUCCAGCUUGGGCAGCGACACCUUGGUGCUGGUGCCAAUCACGUACGCGGCGUUGACGCGACGCACCGGCACACCGUUCAGCUUGAACGGGCCGGUAACGAGCAGCAGGCCCGAAGGCAGCUGGCCCAGGAAGAUGACACGCUUGCCCUUGAAGCGACCGGCCAGCAGAAUCAGCACGGUGCCUGGCGUGAUGCUGGCGCGCAGCUUGGUCUGCUUGUGCACAGCGUUGUGCGACAGAGGCUUGGGCACAUCAUCGGCGGGGUAAAAGCGGGGAGCCUUGCCCUCAGCCUGCUUGGCCACAGCCUUCUUGGCGGGCGCGGGGAACUUGCCGCCGUUCUUCUUCUUGAUCGCCCACAGACCCUUGCGCCUGCAGACAGAGAAGCGGCGGUCAGCAUUGCGGCGGCGCCCACACAGCCGAAGAGUGCGCUAUAACUACACAGGACGCUUCAACCUGCAAAGGUAUACAGGUAAACAUUGCGAGGGCCGCCGGCAACAAGCAACCCGCCGGAAAUGCGCUCACUUGUAGGUCUUGGCCCGGCCCUCAGCGGUGAUACCGCGGGCAACGAAAGUGGCGGGCUUGGCCAUGGUGCUACGUCCACCUGCUGAAAGAGAGAGAGUGGUGUUCGCCUGCCGCUGUGAAGGGUCUCGCGAGUCACAUUGCAUGGGGAAUGGGGGCGGCCGGCAUAGCCCACAUUUCCCAAUCCUAUGACGCUAAACUGGCUUUAUAUUAAUACCUUAAUACAAUAGUUGCGACAGUGAGGCUCUCUGAGGGCUAGUAGACCUAAUCGCGACCAGAUUUCUCCCGCAAGGCCGCUAUAGUAUCCGUUUACGCAUAGGACUAGCGUCAUGAGACGUAAUGGACUGUCGCCAAGCCAUCGUCCAGGACUUUCUGCGUCGGAAGCGGUUUCAGACACUCCCCAGCGUGUGCCUCCCCCACACGCCACUUGGCGGGCCGACGGCAACCGGUUCCUUUGCCCCUCUGCGCUGCAUUGCGAACAUGCCGGCGGCUGUACCUGCUCCCAGAGACUCACUCUUGGUUCAUGUGUGUGGGUGGGUUGCAGGGGUUGCAGGGACAGCAGGCUGUGAUGGCGCAGGCCGUUGCCUGGGGUCCCGCAACGGCAGUAGACAUCGACUGCAGGCCACCUACGCACAACAGCGCAGCCCAUCUCCUCUUGACAGGCUGGUAUCGCUGCUACGGUAGCCUUCUGCUGUGGCCAACUCAGCAUGCAAGAGCCUGGUCGCUGCAUCGGGGCUCAGGGUUACCCCGCGUGUGGCUGCAACGCUACCGUUCCGGGCUCGUGGCGCUAGCCCGACCGCGGCCUUCCCCUCCCCAGUGCAACCCUACACGCGCCCCCUUUCCGUCUGGCAGGAUGCUACGCAGCCCAUCACGCCUCACGCCCUGCGCCUUGGCUUCCCCAUGCAGGCAGCAGCGCUGCGCGCGGCAGGAUGGCUGGCGCCGGCGCCUCGCCGCCUUUGCAGCGCCCGCCUUUGCAGCGCCCGCCUUUGCAGCGCCCGCCUUUGCAGCGGCUUGCCAGGGCUGGGGCCUGCCAGGGCUGGGGCGGCGCCGCUGGGGCCACUCCCUCGCGCGCGGGCUGUCGCUGGCGCAGCGGCACCUGGCACAGGCACUGGCUGCGCGGGCACCGGUGCCGCAGACCGGGGCGGGCAGCGCGCGCAUGUGUGUGUGUGGGCCCCCACCGAGCGGCUGCCUGUGGGAGGCGGAUGCGGCCGGGUGUGCACGUGUGUUCAGACGGCAACGCCGGAGUAGCUGCGCCCACCGAGCUGCCCCCCGGGCGGCACGGUGCUCAUCGCGGGAUGCACGGCACACAGCAAGACACGCCGUACCGCACGACAUGCAGUACCGCACCGUGCCGGCCGAGCCCUAGCCCGGGAGCGGGACAUGCAACGCGGCGGUGGCUGCGGCGGCCUGGCGGCGGUGGCGCUAGGCAGCCUGGCGGGGAAGCCGCUGCGUUCUGUUCGUGCUCGCUGCGGCAUGAGGAUGACUGCGCCCGGUGGUUCUCACCGCCAUGCUCAACCUCGUGUCGCUCAUGCGCCUACGCUCAGUGCCUGUGGUGGUGCGCAGGCGCUUAGGGACGUGGGCAGGCGGGGAUCUUGGGCGGCGCUGGGAGAAGCUGCACGGGAGGCGGAGGGUAUGGCCACCCAUGGGCAUGGCAGGGCAGCUGGGGGCCGUUGCACCCGGCGCCAUUGCACCUGUGCCGGGCGCUGUCCAGCGUGCUGGUGUGGGCCCGGGAAAAGCCGCCAUUACACACACACACACACACACACACACACACACACACACACACACACACACACACACACACACACACACACACACGUGCAUUUGCCGUCAUGCAUGCGCCCAUGCCGUCCCCCGCCUGUUUACUUGCUCGUGGUCGCCCACCCUCCGUCUCUUUCCUAAAUCGCGCAACCCCUAGUAUAGUUAAUUGGGCUGGGACUGGGCUGCGUGUUUGCUCUUGCUCGUCGCGCGCCGCCGCGCUAACAUGUUCCUUCGCUCUUGUUCGUGACACUCCCCUGCUGCCGCCCUGUGCUCUGUUGUUUUCUUAUUCGCUCGUAGGUGAGAAUUUCAUCGAGGAUUGGGCGGGAGCUUGGACUUAGCGGCCAGGAGUAGCGACGCGGAGCUAGGAAUUGUAGGAGUGCUUGGGCCUCACGGUACCGUGAGCACAUGCAUGGGUUUGCACCCUUGAGAGCGUGUGGACACUAAUCCCCCCUCGAGGUUAGAGUAGCGGGGGUUGCGCGAUUUCCGGUUGGUAAGACCGGCGGCUCACCGCAGCAGGUAUGCGAGGUAACUUCAGGUAACAUCCGUAAACCGUCGCUUUGCUGCAUCGCAUACACUGUCUUUGCGCAACGUUUUCCUUGUGCUCUUUAACACACACACACACACACACUGCAUCGCAUACACUGUCUUUGCGCAUCGUUUUCCUUGUGCUCUUUAACACACACACACACACACACACACACACACACACAUUCACCGUCGCUUUGCUGCAUCGCAUACACUGUCUUUGCGCAACGUUUUCCUUGUGCUCUUUACACACAUUCACACACACAUUCAAACACACAUUCGUUUUUAGUGGCGAGUCUUUGCGCUUUGUUCUGGUGCUCUUUGAAAUACAGCGGCCCGCGCUCCAAACCUGCACGUGUGCCGCUGUCAGCUGUCCGCUAGCAACUUGCCGCGGACGCCGCCGUGUGUCCCUACUCCCUACACGGGCACGUGCUGAUUACCGUGCCGGGGAGGUGCGCUGAUCGUGCCCACCUACCCCGCCUACCCGCCCCGCUUGCCUCCACACCACGGGCGGCCGGGCGCUUGGCGAGCGGCCAGGUGCGGUGGCCUGCGGCCACCCUCCAUGAUGCCCUGCAUCAGUGCAUGCUAUGGCCUAAGGCGGCGCGCCGGGCUAGGGGCCCACCGUGGGGCUCACCCCAAGCUCACUCAGGUCUUAGGUGCUCGCCG
rnacentral:lncRNA from 1 species